rnacentral:rRNA from 1 species
AACGAACGCUGGCGGCAUGCCUAACACAUGCAAGUCGAACGAGACCUUCGGGUCUAGUGGCGCACGGGUGCGUAACGCGUGGGAACCUGCCCUUAGGUUCGGAAUACCUCCCCGAAAGGGGUGCUAAUACCGGAUAAUGUCUUCGGACCAAAGAUUUAUCGCCUUUGGAUGGGCCCGCGUUGGAUUAGCUAGUUGGUAGGGUAAAAGCCUACCAAGGCGACGAUCCAUAGCUGGUCUGAGAGGAUGAUCAGCCACACUGGGACUGAGACACGGCCCAGACUCCUACGGGAGGCAGCAGUGGGGAAUAUUGGACAAUGGGCGAAAGCCUGAUCCAGCAAUGCCGCGUGAGUGAUGAAGGCCUUAGGGUUGUAAAGCGCUUUUACCCGGGAUGAUAAUGACAGUACCGGGAGAAUAAGCUCCGGCUAACUCCGUG